AUACGUAGGUGGCAAGCGUUGUCCGGAUUUAUUGGGCGUAAAGCGAGCGCAGGUCGGUUUUUUAAGUCUGAUGUGAAAGCCUUCGGCUCAACCGAAGAAGUGCAUCGGAAACUGGGAAACUUGAGUGCAGAAGAGGACAGUGGAACUCCAUGUGUAGCGGUGAAAUGCGUAGAUAUAUGGAAGAACACCAGUGGCGAAGGCGGCUGUCUGGUCUGUAACUGACGCUGAGGCUCGAAAGUAUGGGUAGAC
rnacentral:rRNA from 1 species